CUCUAACACUUAAGCACCUCACAACAUAUAAUAAAUACUCUAAAUUUAUAAACUAAAUCAUUCUUUUACCUAAGUAUGGGAGACAGAAAAGGUUAAACCUGAAGCAAUAGAAAAAGUACCGCAAGGGAAGGCUGAAAGAGAACUGAAACAACCCAUUAAAGCAAAAUAAACCAAGACUAAACCUG
rnacentral:rRNA from 1 species